rnacentral:lncRNA from 1 species
AGAACGCGAGCUGCAGUUGAAAACAACAUAUAAAGGAAAUGAAGCAAACCGCCCAGAGCCACACGGAUCCUGGCCGCUGGUCCAUGCCGUUUCUGGACCCUGAAAACUUCUGCUUCCCAAAUCUCCUCGAACCCCUCCAAGACCUGAGUUUGCCUGAGACCUGAAAUUUCAGCCUCCUUGGAUCAGUUGACCCUAAGCACUGAAAGGAGAGGAAUUAGGGGGAGGAGAUAGAAAAAGAAGAUCCAGUGCUUGAGAACGUUCCAGCUAUAAGGAGACUGUGAUGUCUUGAAGGCAAGGACAGUGGUUUUUCUUUGCUUCCCUACCACUUAGCACAGUGUCUGGAAUUUGGUAAGAG